GCAAUAUUUGGGAAUCUGCCUAUUAGUGGGGGACAACCCGGGGAAACUCGGGCUAAUACCGCAUACGCACUACGGUGGAAAGCUGGGGACCGCAAGGCCUGGCGCUAAUAGAUGAGCCCAAAUCGGAUUAGCUAGUUGGUGAGGUAAUGGCUCACCAAGGCUACGAUCCGUAGCUGGUCUGAGAGGACGACCAGCCACACCGGAACUGAGACACGGUCCGGACUCCUACGGGAGGCAGCAGUGGGGAAUAUUGGACAAUGGGCGAAAGCCUGAUCCAGCGACGCCGCGUGGGUGAAGAAGGCCUGCGGGUUGUAAAGCCCUUUCGGUGGGGAAGAAAAGUCUCGGCUUAAUAAGUCGGGACCUUGACGUAACCCACUAAAGAAGCACCGGCUAACUCUGUGCCAGCAGCCGCGGUAAUACAGAGGGUGCGAGCGUUAAUCGGAAUUACUGGGCGUAAAGCGCGCGUAGGCGGCUUUGCAAGUCGAGUGUGAAAUCCCCAGGCUUAACCUGGGAACUGCAUUCGAGACUGCAUAGCUAGAGUAUGGGAGAGGGAAGUGGAAUUUCAGGUGUAGCGGUGAAAUGCGUAGAUAUCUGAAGGAACAUCAGUGGCGAAAGCGACUUC
rnacentral:rRNA from 1 species